rnacentral:rRNA from 1 species
GACGAACGCUGGCGGCGUGCCUAAUACAUGCAAGUCGAGCGGAUUUUCGGAAGCUUGCUUCCGAAAAUUAGCGGCGGACGGGUGAGUAACACGUGGGCAACCUGCCUGUAAGACUGGGGUAACUUCGGGAAACCGGAGCUAAUACCGGAUACAUUCUUCCCUCGCAUGAGGGAAGAUGGAAAGACGGUUUUGCUGUCACUUACAGAUGGGCCCGCGGCGCAUUAGCUAGUUGGUGAGGUAAUGGCCCACCAAGGCGACGAUGCGUAGCCGACCUGAGAGGGUGAUCGGCCACACUGGGACUGAGACACGGCCCAGACUCCUACGGGAGGCAGCAGUAGGGAAUCUUCCGCAAUGGACGAAAGUCUGACGGAGCAACGCCGCGUGAGCGAAGAAGGCCUUCGGGUCGUAAAGCUCUGUUGUCAGGGAAGAACAAGUACCAUAGUAACUGAUGGUACCUUGACGGUACCUGACCAGAAAGCCACGGCUAACUACGUGCCAGCCGCCGCAGUAA